rnacentral:tRNA from 1 species
GUUAUUAUAGUUUAAGGAAAACAUAGGUUUGUGGUGCCUAAGAUGAAAGUAAUUUUUAAUGACC